CCUGGCUCCCAUGAGCGCUGGCGGCGCGCCUAACACAUGCAAGUCGAACGAGAGAUGAGGAGCUUGCUCUUCAAAUCGAGUGGCGAACGGGUGAGUAACGCGUGAGGAACCUGCCUCAAAGAGGGGGACAACAGUUGGAAACGACUGCUAAUACCGCAUAAGCCCACGGCUCGGCAUCGAGCAGAGGGAAAAGGAGCAAUCCGCUUUGAGAUGGCCUCGCGUCCGAUUAGCUAGUUGGUGAGGUAACGGCCCACCAAGGCGACGAUCGGUAGCCGGACUGAGAGGUUGAACGGCCACAUUGGGACUGAGACACGGCCCAGACUCCUACGGGAGGCAGCAGUGGGGAAUAUUGCACAAUGGGGGAAACCCUGAUGCAGCGACGCCGCGUGGAGGAAGAAGGUCUUCGGAUUGUAAACUCCUGUUGUUGAGGAAGAUAAUGACGGUACUCAACAAGGAAGUGACGGCUAACUACGUGCCAGCAGCCGCGGUAAAACGUAGGUCACAAGCGUUGUCCGGAAUUACUGGGUGUAAAGGGAGCGCAGGCGGGAGAACAAGUUGGAAGUGAAAUCCAUGGGCUCAACCCAUGAACUGCUUUCAAAACUGUUUUUCUUGAGUAGUGCAGAGGUAGGCGGAAUUCCCGGUGUAGCGGUGGAAUGCGUAGAUAUCGGGAGGAACACCAGUGGCGAAGGCGGCCUACUGGGCACCAACUGACGCUGAGGCUCGAAAGUGUGGGUAGCAAACAGGAUUAGAUACCCUGGUAGUCCACACCGUAAACGAUGAUUACUAGGUGUUGGAGGAUUGACCCCUUCAGUGCCGCAGUUAACACAAUAAGUAAUCCACCUGGGGAGUACGACCGCAAGGUUGAAACUCAAAGGAAUUGACGGGGGCCCGCACAAGCAGUGGAGUAUGUGGUUUAAUUCGACGCAACGCGAAGAACCUUACCAAGUCUUGACAUCCCUUGACGAUGCUGGAAACAGUAUUUCUCUUCGGAGCAAGGAGACAGGUGGUGCAUGGUUGUCGUCAGCUCGUGUCGUGAGAUGUUGGGUUAAGUCCCGCAACGAGCGCAACCCUUAUGGUCAGUUACUACGCAAGAGGACUCUGGCCAGACUGCCGUUGACAAAACGGAGGAAGGUGGGGAUGACGUCAAAUCAUCAUGCCCUUUAUGACUUGGGCUACACACGUACUACAAUGGCGUUAAACAAAGAGAAGCAAGACCGCGAGGUGGAGCAAAACUCAGAAACAACGUCCCAGUUCGGACUGCAGGCUGCAACUCGCCUGCACGAAGUCGGAAUUGCUAGUAAUCGUGGAUCAGCAUGCCACGGUGAAUACGUUCCCGGGCCUUGUACACACCGCCC
rnacentral:rRNA from 1 species